UUGUAAUCGAAUCUCACAAUUCCGUGUCCCUUCCGAAGAUCGUAUUAAAGAAUUUUGUUUUUUGAGAUCCCGAAACGAAAUCGAUCCCGACCAAUAAUUUUGUAUCUCCGAAAAUCUUUAUUGCCAAAUCUCCUUGAUUCCAUAUCUUCCCGAUCUGACCAUUAUGAUAGAUCUCCUUGUGUUUCCAGGUUUCCCCACCAGUACCAGGAUCCCAUCCUUGAAACAUUGUCGAAACCCUAGAGAAGGGCCGUCGCCAUCGCCUGUUUUAGAGAGAGUUUUUUUUUU
rnacentral:lncRNA from 1 species